rnacentral:lncRNA from 1 species
UAGUAGCAAACUUAGUAGGAACUCGUGCAACUCAUCAUCUGGAAUCCUUUUCAUCUAGGAGGAAAGUUGAUUGAUGAUAUGUGAAUGCUUAUCUAAAUGCUCGAUGAUAGGUACACUUUUGUUACAUUUAAAUAUUUUUAGUUUUCGUAUCAAGAAGACGUCUUUGUUUGUCUUUUCUUCUUAUUCAACUAUUUUAAUUUUGCCCCCGA